AUCGACACCUCGUAGUUGUUUUGCAGUCAGUAAAUCGCCUAUUGACAAAAAUAAUAUAAUUAAAGUCCCGAACCCCAGUGGGCUGAACGUGAUCGCUAUCCGAUCCGGUUUCACGGUUUGCACAUUUACCUCAUUUUCAGUCGGAAUAUCCUCUCUCUCCCCCUCUCUCUCCAUGGACGCAGUUACCUUCUCAACUCCGCUCUCUUUAUAUUCACCUCUAUUCAAUCACCGCCACUCUCUCUCUAAACCGCCACAUGCAUUCCCUUUCCAUCUACCCAGAAAAUUCCCAACCUUAACCCUCAAAUCCCUUAAUUCUCACUUCCCCACUUAUUCAACUCAAAAUUCAAGUGCCCCAUCUGAGGACUCGCUCUUGCUCCACCUCUUUGCGUCGGCACCGCAGACUCCUGCCACCGCAAUGCGCGGGGCCGAGACUGACGCCAUGGGUUUGUUGCUCAAGGAGAGGAUUGUUUUCUUGGGAAAUCAGAUUGAUGAUUUUCUUGCUGAUGCUAUUAUCAGCCAGCUGCUCUUGCUUGAUGCUCAGGACCCCACUAAGGACAUUCGACUUUUCGUCAAUUCCCCCGG
rnacentral:lncRNA from 1 species